ensembl:lncRNA
UAUCAAAUUGUAAUGAACUGUAAUAGUUGGCCUUGAUGUAGUAUUUUAUUUAAAGCUAUGUCUUCCUUUUCUUAAUUUUUUAUUUUUUUUGAAGAUCUUAUUUAUAUGAAAUUCAGGGAGGGCUGGAGGGAGGGAGAGAGAGGGGGAGAGAGAGAGAGAGAGAGAGAAUCGCUAUCGAGAGGUCUUCCAUCUGCUGGUCUGCUACCCAAUUGGCUGCAAUGGGCAGGCCUGAGCGGAUCUGAAGCCAGGAGCCAGGAGCCUCCCCGGGGUGUACCGCAUGGGUGCAGGGGCCCAAGGAUUUGGGCCCUCUUCUGCAGAGAGCUGCACCGGAAGUGGAGCAGCCGGGAAUCGAACCGGCGCCCAUGUGGAUGCAGGCGCUGCGGGCGGUGGCUUUACCCGCUCCCCCACAGCGCCGGCCCCUCCUGGGAGCCUUUCCCCGUGGGAUCCAGCUGUCUGCUGCCAUGCCUGGGAAAGCAGAGGGAGACGGCCCAAGGACUCAGGCCCCUGAACCCAGAGUGGAGCACCGGAUACAGUCCCGGGCUUCUGCUUCGGCCUGGCCCGGUCCCGGCCUUAGUAGCCACCUGGGGGUUGAACCCCCAGAGGGACGAUCCGUGAGAGAGAGCAAGAGGCAAGAGGGCUCGCGAUGCCCGGUGCUCUGCUUCUCUCCCCAAGCGGCUCCAACGGCCAGCGCCGGGCCAGGCAGAAGCCAGGAGGCUUGACCUCCAUUCAGGGCGCCCAGGAGGCCGGGAGGCGUGGUCCCUGGGUCACAGGCUGGAGAGGCCGCCCCCCCUGCAGCCCUGGGGCUUCGGACGCUGGACGCGGCAGGCAGCGCGGAGGUGCGUCCCGCGGCGCCACGGCGGCCGCCCAUGGGGAGUGCGCCUGCGCCCGGCGCUGUGACCCGGAAGUGGCCCCUUGUGCCCCGGAAGUGGCCCCUUGUGGCCCGCGGCGCUCAGGUAGGAGUCCUCGCGGGUCCCGUCCCCUGCUGCCGGAGAGCCCGCGCGAGCCGUCGGGAGCCGUCCUGGACGCUGCCUGCGGAGCCUGCGGGAGACCCAGCGCCCCCGGGGUCAGGCCGGGCUCAGAGAGGCUGCGGCCCGAGGCUGCCGCGCCGUUUCCCGGGCGCGGUUCUCUUCUUCGGCCCUUCGUGGAAGCAGCGGCCUUCGCGGGCCCCUGUGCCGCCAGCAGACCGGGCCCCCUUGGCGGUACAUCUCCUGCUCAGCCAUCCUCAGAUGGAAGUCUGCUCCUCAUCUGUUCCUGCCCAAAAGCCUGUUCAAGUCUUGAGGAGCCGUCCUCGAUGCUGCUGGCGGAGCCUGAGUGAGACCCAGUGCCUCCGGGGUCAGGCCUGAAUCAGAGACACUGCAGCCCGGGACAGCCGCAUCAGUUACCUUGCCCUUCUGGAAAUGUGUAGGCGCGGUCCUCUUCUUGGGCAGUCUGGAAGUCUACCCCUCGGGCCUCGGCUCCUGUUCCAGAGGAGCAGAAACGCUCUUUGGUGAGUUGGGCGCGAUGGCCUUGCUGUCGUCACGGGGUAGGUGGGGCCUGGGGUGCAGAUAGCAGGCAAGGGGUGUGCAUGUGAGGGGUGGAGGGGAGAGGAGGAGGAGAGAGGCGGCCAAGGGAGAUUCGGGAGGAGAGAGGAAGGGGGGAGAAGGAAAAGGUGGCGUGAAGGUGGGGUGGCGUGGAAGGAAGGGGAAGGAAGGCGUGUGGGGCAGC